UCGAACGAGGUCCACCAGCUUGCUGGUGAAGACCGAGUGGCGAACGGGUGAGUAACACGUGAGGAACCCACCCCGGAGACCGGGAUAACCCUCCGAAAGGAGAGCUAAUACCGGAUGCCGUCGGAGGAUCGCAUGUUCUUCCGACGAAAUGGAUUCCGCUCCGGGACGGCCUCGCGGCCUAUCAGCUUGUUGGUGGGGUAACGGCCCACCAAGGCGUCGACGGGUAGCUGGUCUGAGAGGACGGUCAGCCACACUGGGACUGAGACACGGCCCAGACUCCUACGGGAGGCAGCAGCGGGGAAUAUUGCGCAAUGGGCGAAAGCCUGACGCAGCAACGCCGCGUGAGGGAUGAAGGCUUUCGGGUUGUAAACCUCUUUCAGCAGGGACGAUUGUGACGGUACCUGCAGAAGAAGCCCCGGCCAACUACGUGCCAGCAGCCGCGGUAACACGUAGGGGGCGAGCGUUG
rnacentral:rRNA from 1 species